rnacentral:rRNA from 1 species
UACGUAGGGGGCUAGCGUUGUCCGGAAUCAUUGGGCGUAAAGCGCGUGUAGGCGGUGCGGUAAGUCCGCAGUGAAAUCUCUGGGCUCAACUCAGAGUCUGCUGUGGAAACUGCCGUGCUAGAGUGUGGGAGAGGUGAGUGGAAUUCCCGGUGUAGCGGUGAAAUGCGUAGAUAUUGGGAGGAACACCUGUGGCGAAAGCGGCUCACUGGACCACAACUGACGCUGAUGCGCGAAAGCUAGGGGAGCAAACAGG